AUGGCAUCAUUCACCAUGCAUAUGUGCUGGAUUAUCUGUAAUGAGAGAAAUGCUAUUGUGUUCAAGGAGAAGUCGACUCCUCCCUUCUACAUCCUUAAGCUUAUACAGGACGAGGACAAGCUAUGGGUCACCACAGGAGAUAGCCACCUUAGCAUCAUUAUGCCGCGAGAGUAG
rnacentral:rRNA from 1 species